UACGGGGGGGAGCAAGCGUUGUUCGGAUUUACUGGGCGUAAAGGGCGCGUAGGCGGUCGUGACAAGUCACUUGUGAAAUCUCCGGGCUUAACUCGGAACGGUCAAGUGAUACUGUCGGACUAGAGUACAGAAGGGGCAACUGGAAUUCUCGGUGUAGCGGUGAAAUGCGUAGAUAUCGAGAGGAACACCUGCGGCGAAAGGCGGGGUUGCUGG
rnacentral:rRNA from 1 species